rnacentral:lncRNA from 1 species
AAAAAAAUUCUGCCUUUAAAUGUUUCCAUAGCAUCUGACUACCUGAAGAUCAUAAUGAGCUUCAAUUCCCCUCCCAGCCCACCCCCCAAUUCUGCAGCUGGUCAGAAGAAGCCUGGUGAAAGAUGAAGCCUUAGUCACCUUUGCUCUGGAGGCCCUGCCCAUGAAGCUCUUUCCACCACUGUUCAAGGAUGCUUUCACUGGCAAACAACAUAGCAUCCUGAGGGUGAUAAUGGGAGCAUGGCCCUUCCUCCAGUAGCCCUGGUAGAGACUCCCUACCUGGAGACCUUGAGUUUGUGCUGGACGACCAAGGAAGGAAAAGAUGUGCUUCAGGAGAUCUGUCAGAAGCUGGAGUUUGGGCCUUCUCUGUUUAUAAUCACCUAGUGCUUCUUGAGGUAUCUGGGCAAGGCUCCAUCCAGGAAUUGGAAAGAAACACACACUGAGACCUGGGAACCCUUGCAUUGGUAGGCAGAAGACAAACCUUCAGAAACACCUUCUCUGGGAAGUCUGCAUCCCCGUGGAGUGGCUUGCAAACUGAGCGAUGAAGGAGAGGCAUAUUACAGAGAUGAUUCCUCUGUCCAAUCUCCAAACUCUACCUGCUCCAGCAUUUCUAUUUGAAUGCUAUCUGCUUUCUGAAUGGCUGCCUGAACCAAGUUCUCAGGUGAGGAGUGACAGGGAGGUUUCUCCACAGGCGAGAGCUAAACUUUUUUUCUGUAUUUGAUGAAGCAUUAGUGUACAGCUGUGGCUUCCCAGCCAUUGUUGAAUUUAUAUCGAAUUUAAUUGACCUUAGAAUGGUUGAUCUAGUACUCUUUCUGAUAUUCUAGCAUCGUAAGCUGUCACCUCAGUAAGCUCUGAUUCUCACAUAUGUGUUCAUAAUUUAGAAAGUGUAAAACAUUCUCUUUACUAUUGUCUUGAACUUUCUUGAGAUGAUCUCCUUUGCCCCCAUCUCAUGAUUAAGAGAGGUCCUUAGAAAUCUCUGUAAUCACUUGGGGAGCACUGUCAGAGUCAAUCAUGAGUUAUCUGUCCCAGCACCUAAAUGUCCAGCAGAGCAAACAUCUGGACCUGAAUGGCAUUCCCUUUUUAUAGUUAAGUCAUCUACUUCUAGAAAGAUUGCUAGAAAGUCUGACAGCUACACUGCAGACCCUAAUAUUGAAGGGAUGUAUGAUUAUGGACUUCAAAAUCAGUCUUUUCCUGCCUUCCCUGAGCCAGUGCUCCCAGCUGACUGAGGUAAGUUUUGUGAAGAACUUCCUGCCCACGUGUAGCCUAAAGAAUCUGUUGAAGUACACUUCCAACAUGAGACAGCUGACUUUGGGAAAGUAUCCUACUCACCAUGAAGACAUUGAUGACAUCUUGUUAUACAGAUUUGUACAACUCUGUUCUGAGCUUAUGGACACACUCAAGGUUAUAAGGCAGCCAAAAGAGGUCUGCUUUGGGCUGGAGGGAGAGAUGGCUCAGUGG